AUACUCUAAGCUUUAGGGUACAUGUGCACAUUGUGCAGGUUAGUUACAUAUGUAUACAUGUGCCAUGCUGGUGCGCUGCACCCACUAACGUGUCAUCUAGCAUUAGGUAUAUCUCCCAAUGCUAUCCCUCCCCCCUCCCCCGACCCCACCACAGUCCCCAGAGUGUGAUAUUCCCCUUCCUGUGUCCAUGUGAUCUCAUUGUUCAAUUCCCACCUAUGAGUGAGAAUAUGCGGUGUUUGGUUUUUUGUUCUUGCGAUAGUUUACUGAGAAUGAUGGUUUCCAAUUUCAUCCAUGUCCCUACAAAGGACAUGAACUCAUCAUUUUUUAUGGCUGCAUAGUAUUCCAUGGUGUAUAUGUGCCACAUUUGCUUAAUCCAGUCUAUCAUUGUUGGACAUUUGGGUUGGUUCCAAGUCUUUGCUAUUGUGAAUAGUGCCGCAAUAAACAUACGUGUGCAUGUGUCUUUAUAGCAGCAUGAUUUAUAGUCCUUUGGGUAUAUACCCAGUAAUGGGAUGGCUGGGUCAAAUGGUAUUUCUAGUUCUAGAUCCCUGAGGAAUCGCCACACUGACUUCCACAAUGGUUGAACUAGUUUACAGUCCCACCAACAGUGUAAAAGUGUUCCUAUUUCUCCACAUCCUCUCCAGCACCUGUUGUUUCCUGACUUUUUAAUGAUUGCCAUUCUAACUGGUGUGAGAUGAUAUCUCAUAGUGGUUUUGAUUUGCAUUUCUCUGAUGGCCAGUGAUGAUGAGCAUUUCUUCAUGUGUUUUUUGGCUGCAUAAAUGUCUUCUUUUGAGAAGUGUCUGUUCAUGUCCUUCGCCCACUUUUUGAUGGGGUUGUUUGUUUUUUUCUUGUAAAUUUGUUUGAGUUCAUUGUAGAUUCUGGAUAUUAGACCUUUGUCAGAUGAGUAGGUUGCGAAAAUUUUCUCCCAUGUUGUAGGUUGCCUGUUCACUCUGAUGGUAGUUUCUUUUGCUGUGCAGAAGCUCUUGAGUUUAAUUAGAUCCCAUUUGUCAAUUUUGGCUUUUGUUGCCAUUGCUUUUGGUGUUUUGGACAUGAAGUCCUUGCCCACGCCUAUGUCCUGAAUGGUAAUGCCUAGGUUUUCUUCUAGGGUUUUUAUGGUUUUAGGUCUAACGUUUAAAUCUUUAAUCCAUCUUGAAUUGAUUUUUGUAUAAGGUGUAAGGAAGGGAUCCAGUUUCAGCCUUCUACAUAUGGCUAGCCAGUUUUCCCAGCACCAUUUAUUAAAUAGGGAAUCCUUUCCCCAUUGCUUGCUUUUCUCAGGUUUGUCAAAGAUCAGAUAGUUGUAGAUAUGCGGCAUUAUUUCUGAGGGCUCUGUUCUGUUCCAUUGAUCUAUAUCUCUGUUUUGGUACCAGUACCAUGCUGUUUUGGUUACUGUAGCCUUGUAGUAUAGUUUGAAGUCAGGUAGUGUGAUGCCUCCAGCUUUGUUCUUUUGGCUUAGGAUUGACUUGGCAA
rnacentral:lncRNA from 1 species